rnacentral:rRNA from 1 species
UACGGAGGGGGCUAGCGUUGUUCGGAAUUACUGGGCGUAAAGCGCACGUAGGCGGCCCUGUAAGUCGGAUGUGAAAUCCCUCGGCUCAACUGAGGACGUGCAUCCGAAACUGCAGAGCUCGAGUAUGGAAGAGGGUCGCGGAAUUCCCGGGUGUAGAGGUGAAAUUCGUAGAUAUCGGGAGGAACACCAGUGGCGAAGGGCGGCGACCUGGUCCUAUACUGACACUCAUACACGAAAAGCGUGGGGAUCAAACAGG